AAGAAUUUAGUUAACCUAUAACAUUAGCUUGUCAAGCUAAAAUCAUUAAUAAUAAUAAUUCUUU
rnacentral:tRNA from 1 species